GCACAGGCUUUCAGCUAUUAGAUCAUUUGUGUAUUAUAGUGUCUAGGAACCUCAUUUGUGGGCCAGGACCUCAUUGUGCUUAGGUGCUAUACAGAACAAAAAGUCAGUCCCUGGCCAAAAUAGCUUACAAUCUGAGUUUCGGCAAGUAUAAAUAAGAGAACAGACUGACAGAGAGAUGAACAGAAGAGCACAAGGAAACAAUGAAACAAUAUUGCAUGGCUAGGUGAUGUAAAGUUGUUUGAAAGGAGUAACAGAAAUAUAAGGAUUUUUUAGAUGCUGCAGGAGUAUCAAAAAGAACCAUGUGUCAAAAAUACUAUAUACUGGACGGAGACUUGACAGAUGAGCAAUACAGAAGUGAUUAGAGAGCUGCCCUGAAAUUCAUCCGUUAUUUUACAAUACAAUUAAGCAGUGAUGUUUAUG